AAUACGAAGAACCAAUUGCUAGGCAUGCAUUUCUCUUAUCCCUUCUCAAAAUUUCUCCAAAUUCAUAAACCAAAAUUUUCUCCACAUAUCUUUUCUUUUUUUCGUAGCCAAAUCAGUCUAUCCAAACGGAGUGUAAGACCUUCUUACAUCUCUUCAUCAUUCACUUUCAUCUUCCACACGACCGAUAACAACCACGCUCCAUAUCUUCCUCACCACUCACCGCCAACAAUCUCAAUCUCAAUCUCACUUCAACUCUCUCUCUCUCUCUCUCUCUCUCUCUCUCUCUCUCUCUCUCUCUCUCUUCAACUCCAGAGCUAAUAAUGCUUGCAAGAUUGGGCUAGGGUUUUGGGUUUACAUGUGGUCCGGUCACCAGCACCGAAGCCAACACCCCCAAGCUUAGGUAUAAUUUUUCUCAAUCUCCCUUUAAUUGAUAAGAAAUAUCUUAAAAGGAGAAAGAAAAAAUGAAAUUAUUAAUCUCCUGCUUAAUCUUGUUUUCCAUUCUUAGUGAGUGAUGAUGACAAGCUUGGCUAUUGCUGUAAUUUCAUUGGAAAUUUGGGUGUGAAGAGCUAAUGUUCCAUUCCCAUGAUAAAAUUAAAAUCUUUAUUGAUGAGGUAGAACAACAAACACCCUUUAGUAUUCAACUAAGUUGCUUAUCUCUAGUAGUUUCACAUGUCUUGAAUAUGGAGUUGGGUGUCUUCCUAAGGUUGAUUAUAAGCCAAACCGAACCGAGCCAAACUUUAAAUCCUGUCAAAUGGGGUCGGUUGGUCGACCAUGAGGUGGGUGGUUCCUGGACAAGGAGGAGAGGCUAGUCGACCAUGGAUGAGGAAGAGGUGGUUGUGGUUGUGGGGGGAGGAAGAGUGGAAGGAAUGAUUUGGUGUGGUGAAGUACACGGUUAGACAAGAUGAACAUUUUUUAUUUGUUAAAGAGAUUAAGGUGAUAAAAUGACUGUUAUGCCCUUGCAAAUUGGUCAAUUACAUGCAUGGAAUAAUGUUUGAGAGCCACAAUUUCUGUGGCUUAAAUGGCUCAAAACGAGUCGUUUUGGCAUGUUUUGUGCUUAAAACGACGUCGUUUUUGCAGUUUUGAGCCAUUUGAGCCACAAAAAUUGUGGCCCUCUACCAUUGCCCUACAUGCAUGGGACCAUUUUCUGUCCAGAAUUUGACUGGCCGUUAUUAAUUGUCCUUAAUUGAUACAGCGUAGAAAAAAUUGGAGGACAUUGAAAUAAUAGGGAUUAAAUUGAAACUUGGGUUACACUACAUAGACUUUUAGUGAAAUUUACUCAUGAAUUUUUUUUUUUUUUUUUUCAUUUUAAAAAUCAUGUAUUGAAAAUUCAGUUAGAGAAUGAAACUACCCCUGCAAAAAUAAAAAAUAAAAAAAUGGAGCGAGUAACAGAAAAUUCAAUACCAACAAGAGAAUGAAAUCAUCUACUGCAAACUCAGUUAGAGAAUGAAACGACUUCACCCACAAAGCGUCCCUUAUUUCAAUUAAUUCCACCAAUUCCCCACUUUUUGAUUUAAUAUCUUCUUUCUUCUUUUAUGUAUACAAUAUACACGUAUUCUUAUUUGUUUAUUUAUUUGUGCAAAUGAUGAAAAAAAUGUUUGAUGAUCUGCUUCUAAAUGUGAUGUUCUGUAGUCUCCACACUAUUGGGUGGUUUGAGAUAAUCUAAAUAAGUGUAUUUUUUGACUUUUUAUGAAAUAUGGGUUGGGUAUGGAUUAGGUUUGAAGUGAUGUGGUAAAGAGGUGAUGUGACUUAAAUAGGAUAGUGACUUUUUAGCUUUUUGACUUUUUUAGGUUAUGACAAGCAAGGCCUAUGAUUAUGGAGAUGAUUACUUUAGUAAUAGGUUCAUCAUUUCAAAUUGAUUCAACAAUUUAAUUAAAAUUUUGAAUUGAAAGGACAUCUGGGGAUGGCUUUAUUUGUUUCAAUAAUGAUAGACAUCCUCACAAAACACAACCCUCACAAUCUCUAAAAUAAUUUAAACCAUUCAUGUACACAACCCAAAAAAAAAACAAUUCAAAUACAUCAAUAGUUAAUACAUCAGUGGGGGUCGUGGAGUCCUCUUUUGUGGGGGUCCCAAAUAUUUUCCUAUUUGUUUUUGUUGUUGAACAGGUAUUCCAACCAUGGUUAUUGUUUCAAAAACUGCUGGUGAAGUAGAGGACCUGCGUGAUAGUCUAAAUGAUCUCUUUAAAUCAAAAGGGACUUUGUUAUUCAAAUUAAUGCCAGGUAUUAUUAUUUUUUAGAUAAGCAAUAAAUUUUAUAGGGAAAAGAAACAUGAUAGUAGCCAGAAACAUGUCAGGUUUUAUAUUAUUUUCAUUUAUUUUUUUCUAUGUACAGACAUUUGUAUAAGACAAGGGCAGGUGUAAUAUUUUCACUAAAUAUAGUUUACCCUACCCAAAUUAUUUUUUUUUUUAAAAAAAGAAGGAAUUUUGACUAGUGUGGUGUGUUUGAUCCUGGCAAGAUAAGUAUGCAGGUAAUUGUGCUGAAUGGCAAUGUCUUUAUUGAUAAAAAAAAAUGGCCCAACUUUUCCUUUCAUCUUAUUAAUUAUUCUGCAAUGGUAUUUUGUUACAGGGUACAUAAGGAUUGUCAGAGGUUCGUUGCUCUUACUCUUCAAUUAUGCGCUAUUCAUAGUUUUGGAAUACAGUAAAAUCUAAAAUUUUAGCUUGUGCUUGGAUUAAACCAAUUGAUGUUGCAAAGAAAAAGCAUGUGUUUGCAAGAGAGCUAGCAAAAAGGCUAAUAGAAAAAUAAAAUGAUUGAAUUGAUUACAUAAAUUGUGAAAAUUUACAUUUUUAUGUAGUCCACUGCUUUAAGAUGCCACUUCAUCACAGAAGCUUUAAGACGCCACUUCAUCACAGAAGCAGAAGAAGAAUAGAGUCUUAUCCUAGAGACAAAGCACGACAUCAAUGAGAUGGUAGAGGAAAUCCUUGAAAAAUUCCCUAAUGCUGCCUCAUUUGAUGAGAAUGGAAGAAAUAUACUACACACAUAGCGGCACAGCUGAAAGAUCGAAUUCUCUAUGACCACUUAAAGAAGACUCUUAAUCACACAGAUAGAAUGAUGACUGAUGUUGAUAAUCAUGGGAACACUAUUUUGCAUCUUGCAGCCUACUAGUACGAAAAAGAUCAUUUUCCUCAAAAUCUUUUCGGAACCCCGUAAACCGAAUGACAUCGAAUGUGUUUUGGUUUAAGAGUGUAUACAUAAUGACUCUCAUCCACAUUUGAUAUAUCAUCGAAACAUUGAUGGUAAGACAACAAAAGAAGUAUUUGAGGAAGAGCGCGGGGAUGCGGUGAAGGAAGCUGAGAAAGCAAUAAAAGAUAUUAAUAGUUGCUUGAUGCUUGUUUUCACUAUAAUUGGCACCGUCAAUUACACUGCACUUUUUACUAUCCCUGGUGGUUUCGAUCAAUCAUAUGACCUACCAAUUUUUUUCACAAAAGCAAUAAAUGGACGAGAUUUGUAGUUGUUCAUGUCUUACGUUGGAGGAAGUCUGGUUGUUUCUUUAUUGGGUUUGGGAUCUCAACUUUUAAUACAAAUGUCAUGGUUUCACACUUUGUUGCCAUUGAAUGUUUUCACUAUAGUUGGCACCGUCAAUUACGACGCACUUUUUACUAUCUCUGGUGGUUUCGAUCAAUAAUAUGGCCUACCAAUUUUUUUACAAAAGCAAAAAAUGGACAACGUGAUUUGUAGUUGUUCAUGUCACAUUGGAGGAAAGUCUGUGUGCUUCUUUAUUGGGUUUGGGAUCUCAACUUUUAAUACAAAUGUCAUGGUUUCACACUUUGUUGCCAUUGAAUGUUUUCACAAUAAUUGGCUCCGUCAAUUAAGAUGCAUUUUUUACUAUCCCUGAUGGUUUCGAUCAAUAAUAUGGCCUAUCAAUUUUUUUUUUACAAAAGCAAAAAAUGGACAACAAGAUUUGUUGUUGUUCAUGUCACAUUGGAGGAAGUCUGUUUGCUUCUUUUUUGGGUUUGGGAUCUCAACUUUUAAUACAAUUGUCAUGGUUUCACACUUUGUUGCCCUUGAAAUUUCUUAUUGCAACCACGUCCUUGUACUAUGCCACUGGCUUCUCAAUCACGACAUGUUUUCAAACUUUUAUUAUUGAGGAUGCAUUCAUAAAUUCAUAUUUGGGGAUGAUGUGGUUUGCCUGUAUUCUUAUGACCCUUGUUUACACAGAUGCAUUAUACUUGACCUACGAUUACUUGUACUACAUAAUUCGCUAUUCACUUACUUAUAGAAGCCAAAAAAAUGUAGAGUUUGCACUUGUUUGGUACUUGUUUUAAGCCAUGUUUGAAUUUGUGUGUGACAACAUUUUAAGUUGUUCAAUCUCCAACUGUUUGGUCUUUCAAGUUUCAAGUGCCUUUGCCAUGUUUGACGUGUAAUGAUUUUGACAAAUGAUGAAUUAGAUGAUUUCGUGUUGAUCAUUGAAGAUACAGUUACAAUUGCAUACAUAUGCUUCAUUCAUAUUAAUUACAAUAGCAUAUUAUC